rnacentral:rRNA from 1 species
AUUGAACGCUGGCGGCAUGCUUUACACAUGCAAGUCGAACGGCAGCGCGGGUUUCGGCCUGGCGGCGAGUGGCGAACGGGUGAGUAAUACAUCGGAACGUGCCCAGUAGUGGGGGAUAGCUCGGCGAAAGCCGGAUUAAUACCGCAUACGACCUGAGGGUGAAAGCGGGGGAUCUUCGGACCUCGCGCUAUUGGAGCGGCCGAUGGCAGAUUAGCUAGUUGGUGGGGUAAAGGCCUACCAAGGCGACGAUCUGUAGCUGGUCUGAGAGGACGACCAGCCACACUGGGACUGGGACACGGCCCCGACUCCUACGGGAGGCAGCAGUGGGGAAUUUUGGACAAUGGGCGAAAGCCUGAUCCAGCAAUGCCGCGUGGUUGAUGAAGGCCUUCGGGUUGGAAAGCACUUUUGGCGGGAACGAAAAGGACUGUGCCAAUACCACGGUUCGAUGACGGUACCCGCAGAAUAAGCACCGGCUAACUACGUG